rnacentral:misc_RNA from 1 species
GAUGAAGAACGCAGCGAAAUGCGAUAAGUAAUGUGAAUUGCAGAAUUCAGUGAAUCAUCGAAUCUUUGAACGCACAUUGCGCCCCCUGGUAUUCCGGGGGGCAAGCCUGUUCGAGCGUCAUUUCACCACUCAAGCCUCGCUUGGUAUUGGGCAACGCGGUCCGCCGCGUGCCUCAAAUCGACCGGCUGGGUCUUCUGUCCCCUAAGCGUUGUGGAAACUAUUCGCUAAAGGGUGUUCGGGAGGCUACGCCGUAAAACAACCCCAUUUCUAAGGUUGACCUCGGAUCAGGUAGGGAUACCCGCUGAACUUAAGCAUAUCAAUAAGCGGAGGA